GAUGAAGAACGUAGCGAAAUGCGAUACGUAGUGUGAAUUGCAGAAUUCAGUGAAUCAUCGAAUCUUUGAACGCACAUUGCACCUCUCGGUAUUCCGGGAGGUAUGCCUGUUCGAGCGUCAUUUGUACCCUCAAGCUCUGCUUGGUGUUGGGUGUUUGUUCCGCCUCUGUGUGUGAACUCGCCUCAAAACAAUUGGCAGCCGGCGUACUUGUUUCGAAGCGCAGCACAUUUUGCGAUCCAGAUCAACGUACAGCGGCAUCCAAGAAGCCUUAUUUAACGCUCUUGACCUCGGAUCAGGUAGGGAUACCCGCUGAACUUAAGCAUAUCAAUAAGCGGAGGA
rnacentral:misc_RNA from 1 species